rnacentral:rRNA from 1 species
GACGAACGCUGGCGGCGUGCUUAACACAUGCAAGUCGAACGGUGAAAGGGAGCUUGCUCCCUGGAUCAGUGGCGAACGGGUGAGUAACACGUGGGCAACCUGCCCCAGACUUCGGGAUAACGCUUCGAAAGGAGUGCUAAUACCGGAUACGAACUCCUUGGGCAUCCUUGGGGUUGGAAAGUUUUUCGGUCUGGGAUGGGCCCGCGGCCUAUCAGCUUGUUGGUGAGGUAACGGCUCACCAAGGCGACGACGGGUAGCCGGCCUGAGAGGGCGACCGGCCACACUGGGACUGAGACACGGCCCAGACUCCUACGGGAGGCAGCAGUGGGGAAUAUUGCGCAAUGGGCGAAAGCCUGACGCAGCAACGCCACGUGAGGGAUGACGGCCUUCGGGUUGUAAACCUCUUUCGGCAGGGAAGAAGCGAAAGUGACGGUACCUGCAGAAGAAGCACCGGCUAACUACGUGCCAGCAGCCGCCGUAAUAC